UGGAACCACCUGAUCCCAUCCCGAACUCAGAAGUGAAACGACGCAUCGCCGAUGGUAGUGUGGGGUCUCCCCAUGUGAGAGUAGGUCAUCGUCAAGC
rnacentral:rRNA from 1 species